AUUUGCAUAUGAAAUCACCAGAAUUUUCGCCAUGGCUCUGGUUCUUGACAUGGUGCUUAAAAGCACUCAUCCCAUCUUGAUUAUUCGCAUACAGUUUUUUGUUUUUGUUUUUACGGAUUCACUUCUAUCGACAUUUUUUUAUGUCCCUUUUUAUGACCAGCUUGGUCAUUUGGUCUGGAUGGAGUCAUUCAACUCGGAAAGAAAAAAGAAUUUGAGAAUGCUUUAUCUUUCAUGCAAUAGUUGCGGUCAAUUGUUCUUGGUUUUUCCUGUAGUAGUUGAUAAUCAGUCUGAACAAUAGUAGAUUAGUAAAGCCAAUAGCAGUUAAUUUGAGACGACUUUUAUCUUCCCUACAGUAGUUAAGGUUGAUUGUUCUUAGUUUUCCCUGUAGUGUUUAAUUUGAUUGUUCUGAGCAUUCAAAUUGUACUCUGUUUGUUUCUCUCCUACUCUUUUCUGACAAAUGUUAUUAUCUGUGCUUCAUUACUACUCUCUCUAAAUCAUGUGAGAGUUGAAUGAUGUUGCAGGAUAACUAUUGAUGGUGAAAAGAUUGUUGUUUUUUAUACUGGUAUAGGGGGGGUAUAAUACAAAUGGUCCUUCAAAUCCAGUUGGAAGCUCCUCCCUGUAAUUGAUGAAGGCAGGAUUUACUAUUUCUUGGGAGUAAGAGGUUUAUUUGUUGAACCAUGAUAUCUAAGGGAGUAAGAGGCAACGUCCAGGUUGGUACAUAAUGGUUCUUAGUCUUUUGCUUUAUGACAUCGAAUGAACUUUGCCAUUCUAAGUGUCUAUCAUGUCCUGCAUAGUUUUUUAUUUUGUGUAAGCUAAGAGUAUUCAUAGUUCCAUUUUCCUAUUUUUGGCAGGGGUAUCUAAGAGAGCUGGUCCAGGCUUGAUGGAAAUCGCUUAGUACAUUCAUGGGAUCACAAACUUUUGGCGUUGGUUGAGAUUAGUGACGCAUGACCAUUAAUAACUAGAAGACUGUGACAAUUAACUUACUGUUUCAUGAAUUAGAGAGGCUGGGUUGGACCAACUCCAUGUUACAGGCCCUUUCCUCAUUGCAUUUCUCUUGACAUUAAAUUGAUUAAAUUAUAAUUUCAGUAGGAAAUCUACAACAUACUCAAAUCAUUAUGAUUACUCUUUCCUGUUUUUGUUUCUAUAUCUAAUUGAUAUAUAGAUUUUGCAUCUUGUCCUAUGACAUGUACUUCUGUAGUUGUGUCCAUUGGACUUACUCUUUUCAUUGUGGCAUCAUGAUUCCUCCUUUUCUUGGCUUGCUAUAUAUGUUUGUUUCAUGGUCCAGUUGGUGUUCCAAAAAUAUGCUCAAUUGUUAUAUGUAUCAAAUACAGUCUCUCCCAGUGGUGUACCAUCUGCUUAUUGUUUUACAUACAGUCGCUUGAUUAUUUUUGUUCCUCUAUAGGCCUCUGGUCUUGUCUGCAGUGUACGGCUAGGUUGUUCGUCCGCCUGGGUCGUAGGUUCUUUCCUUCCUGUUGACGGCAGGUACAAGACUCGAGCAAUGGUUAACGGGCAAGCACUAUAUACACCAUUCAUCUAUGCUAAUAUAGCCCGUCUUUUAAAGCCAAUGUAUGCUAUCACCAAUUGAUCGGAAUAUUUUCUUUCAAGCAUAGCUUUCAUGUAAUGGAAUAUAAGUAUCUUUAUAAGUUGAUUCUAAAUCAAUCUCAUACACAUACUUUGAAUGCUUGGCUCGCUCUCGCUUUUUGCGCCAUGGUCAAGGGUGCAACGAUGACUCUGUCUAAUGUUUAUCACUUCAUAGCGCCUAUAUGUGACUAUCUACUUUGUUUGCUAAUAACAUUGUAAAUAAUUAAUCGUAAGCUUCUUAGAACACUAUGUAUCAUUACUAAGUAUCUAUCUACCAGCAAUAAGUACUUAUUUUC
rnacentral:lncRNA from 1 species